rnacentral:tRNA from 1 species
GGGUCUGUAGCUCAGCUGGUUAGGAGCACUGUGUUGAUAACGCAGGGGUCGUUGGUUCAGCUUAGACCCACCA